rnacentral:snRNA from 1 species
GUUCACUUUGGCAGCACAUAUCCUAAAAUUGGAAAGAGAUGAUUAACAUGCCCCCUGCACAAGGAUGGCACACAGAUUCAUGAAGCAUUCCAUGUUUUU